GUUGCCAUUUCCUUUGUAUCGCUGAUAGAGGAUGAGGCUUUGAAGGCGGAGAUGCUUCUGGGAGAAAGAAAAACAAACUUUGAUUAAUCUGGAGCAGUUUAUAAAGGUCGAGGUAGUUGUUGGAAUAUAAUAUAAGUAUAUUGUCCGCUUCUUCCUAUCAACUUAAACUAUUAGGUUGAAUAGGUUGGUGCAUACAACUUAAUAUGAUAUAGGAGCUAGAGAUCUUGAGUUCUAUUCUUGACUGACGCUAUUAAAUAAAAUAAUUGUUGUUCGCUUCUAUAUUUCAGGUCGGAGACCUAACAGAGGCUCGACGUGAGGGAGGUGUUAUACUAUCAGCUUAAGCUUUCGAGUUAGAUUGGUUGAUGCAUGCAAAUUAAUAGUGAUAACUUAUAAGCACGUGUUCUUAUUCAGUUAUUACCCAUGGUG
rnacentral:lncRNA from 1 species